rnacentral:misc_RNA from 1 species
UACGUAGGGGGCAAGCGUUGUCCGGAAUUAUUGGGCGUAAAGCGCGCGCAGGCGGUCCUUUAAGUCUGAUGUGAAAGCCCACGGCUCAACCGUGGAGGGUCAUUGGAAACUGAGGGACUUGAGUGCAGAAGAGGAAAGUGGAAUUCCACGUGUAGCGGUGAAAUGCGUAGAGAUGUGGAGGAACACCAGUGGCGAAGGCGGCUCUCUGGUCUGCAACUGACGCUGAGGCGCGAAAGCGUGGGUAGCGAACCGG